GUCCCUGUAGCGCAAUGGAUAGCGCGUUGGGCUUCUAAUAUAAAGGUCGUAGGUUCGAAUCCUACCUGGGAUA